rnacentral:rRNA from 1 species
GGUGUUAAUUGCGGUGAGGGUCCACCUGUUCCCAUUCCGAACACAGCAGUUAAGCUCACUAUCGCCGAAGAUACUUGGGUGGCGACGCCCCGGAAAAAUAGGAAGACGC